UACGUAGGCAGCAAGCGUUGUUCGGAGUUACUGGGCGUAAAGGGUGUGUAGGCGGUUCUUUAAGUUUGGUGUGAAAUCUCCCGGCUCAACCGGGAGGGUGCGCCGAAUACUGAGGGACUAGAGUGUGGGAGAGGAAAGUGGAAUUCCUGGUGUAGCGGUGAAAUGCGUAGAUAUCAGGAGGAACACCGGUGGUGUAGACGGCUUUCUGGACCAUAACUGACGCUGAGACACGGAAGCGUGGGUAGCAAACAGG
rnacentral:rRNA from 1 species